UACGGAGGGGGCUAGCGUUGUUCGGAAUUACUGGGCGUAAAGCGUACGUAGGCGGCUUUGUAAGUUAGAGGUGAAAGCCCGGGGCUCAACCCCGGAAUUGCCUUUAAGACUGCAUCGCUUGAACGUCGGAGAGGUGAGUGGAAUUCCGAGUGUAGAGGUGAAAUUCGUAGAUAUUCGGAAGAACACCAGUGGCGAAGGCGGCUCACUGGACGACUGUUGACGCUGAGGUACGAAAGCGUGGGGAGCAAACAGG
rnacentral:rRNA from 1 species